rnacentral:rRNA from 1 species
CAAGUCGCACGGGGGGUUUCGGCCCUUAGUGGCGGACGGGUGAGUAUCGCGUAGGGAUUUGUCGUUGGGUGGGGGAUAACCUUGGGAAACUGGGGCUAAUACCNCAUGACGCCUGUGGGCCAAAGCUUUGGCGCCUGACGAGGAGCCUGCGUCCGAUUAGGUAGUUGGUUGGGUAAUGGCUGACCAAGCCUGCGAUCGGUAGCUGGUCUGAGAGGAUGAUCAGCCACACUGGGACUGAGACACGGCCCAGGCUCCUACGGGAGGCAGCAGUGGGGAAUAUUGGACAAUGGGCGCAAGCCUGAUCCAGCAAUGCCGCGUGGAUGAAGAAGGUUUUCGGAUUGUAAAGUCCUUUCGGCGGGGACGAUGAUGACGGUACCCGCAGAAGAAGCCCCGGCUAACUUCGUGCCAGCAGCCGCGGUAAUACGAAGGGGGCUAGCGUUGCUCGGAAUGACUGGGCGUAAAGGGCGCGUAGGCGGAGUGCUUUGUCGGGCGUGAAAUUCCAGGGCUCAACCUUGGGGCUGCGUUCGAGACGGGCAUUCUAGAGUUCGGAAGAGGGUCGUGGAAUUCCCAGUGUAGAGGUGAAAUUCGUAGAUAUUGGGAAGAACACCGGUGGCGAAGGCGGCGACCUGGUCCGAGACUGACGCUGAGGCGCGAAAGCAUGGGGAGCAAACAGGAUUAGAUACCCUGGUAGUCCACGCUGUAAACGAUGUGCGCUGGAUGUUGGGGGGCCUAGCCCUUCAGUGUCGUAGCUAACGCGGUAAGCGCACCGCCUGGGGAGUACGGCCGCAAGGUUGAAACUCAAAGGAAUUGACGGGGGCCCGCACAACCGGUGGAGCAUGUGGUUUAAUUCGAAGCAACGCGCCAGAACCUUACCAGGGCUUGACAUGGGUAGGUCGCAUUCA